rnacentral:rRNA from 1 species
GACGGAGGAUGCAAGUGUUAUCCGGAAUCACUGGGCGUAAAGCGUCUGUAGGUGGUUUAGCAAGUCCGUUGUUAAAGGCCAAGGCUCAACCUUGGUAUGGCAAUGGAUACUACUAGACUAGAGGAUUGUAGAGGUAAGGGGAAUUUCCAGUGGAGCGGUGAAAUGCGUAGAGAUUGGAAAGAACACCAAAGGCGAAGGCACCUUACUGGGCAAUACCUGACACUGAGAGACGAAAGCUAGGGUAGCAAAUGGG